rnacentral:lncRNA from 1 species
UUUAGGCUAUCCUCUUAUUAUUAAUAAUAUUAGUUUAAUGAACUCCGAUCCGAUUUACACCUUUUUCCUUUCCCCUCCCAAUUUCUUUACAUUUUUUCUCCUCCAAAUUUUUUUAUUUUUUUAUGACGAUAAUUCUUUUUUUUUUUUUAAGUUUAAGAGUAUUUUAUUUGUCAUCGUCAUUCGAUAUGAGUUUGAAUCUUCUCUUAUCAUAUACAUUCAAAAUUACUGUUCAUUUUAGGAUGGUUGAAGUUUUUUGGGGUCUAGAUUUAUAUAUAAUGCGAUGAUUGAAUUUAAAAUGUGAGAAAGAAACAUGGCGAAACUUUUGACGCGGGGGAUAUUAAGAAAGAAAAGCUAUAGUAGUAUUAAUUUGUUGACGGUGUAUAUAUACAGUGUUACUAUUUUUUGUUUGCCUCUUCGUGCAUAAAGUUCUUUUCGAGUUUUUAUUAAGAGAGAUGUUGGUGUGAAAAAAGAGAGAAAGAGAGAGAGAGGAGGGGUAAAAAAAGAAAAUAAGAAAACGUGAGAGGUACGGAAGAGUGAUGAUGAGAAAAGGAGUCAGAGAAGCUGAUGAUGAACGAACGGACACACACACACACACACAGGCCUCUCUCUCUCUCUCUCUCUCUCUCUCUCUCUCUCUAAAUCCAACGGUCAGAUAUUUGUGCUUCCCAUGCGUGUUUCCUUCUCUCUCUCUCCCAACCCUCGUUUCACCCCCCCCCCCACUUGCUGUUAAAUUAUUAUGCUCCCUUCCCCCAUUUCCAUUUCUUUCAAUUCUUUCCCUUUUAUUUAUUUUCAUUACACAAUUUACCUUUUUCUCUUUUUAUUUACAUCAUUCCUACCCACAAAUUUUACUUCUAUUUUACCAUCCCUAUUAUGAAUGAUAAUGAUAUAUAAUACUAAAAUAUACAAUCCAUAGUUUCCCAGACUCCGAACAAUGGAACCGUGAAAAUCCGAAUGAAUUUUUAAAAAAGGGUUAAAUAAUUAAAGGCAUUUUUUUGGGAUGGCGUUACCCUAUUAGAGAUGAAGUAAAUCACUUAAUUAAGUUAUCAUCAUUUUAAAAUUCUUUUUUUAAAAACCAUUCAUCUAGUGUAUCUAGAAGACUUAAUGAACCCAAAAAAAAGAAAAAAGAGAAGAAAGUAUUUCAAGUUUGGGUGACUAACAUUUGUCUAAUUGGGCCCCAUACAGUUGGGCCAAUCUAAGUAAAAAUAAAAUAAAAAAGCAAAAGAUAAGGAAAUGCAAUUAUGAAAGUUAAAGAAAUUUUAGGAAGAAUUUAAACUACAAAUUAGAAACAUUACUUUUAAAAAAUUUAAUUAAUAAGAUUAGUAAAGUGGAGAGAGAGAGAGAGAGAGAGAGAGAGAGUGGAGGAGGUUAGAUGUCCCAUUCACCACCCGGCAAACCGACUUGGAAUGCCGCUUUCUUGUCCCCCCCCUUCCCUAUUUACUCUUCUAUUUACUCUUUUACCCUUUUAUUCUUUAUUCGCUUUGCUAUUAUAAAGAGGGGUGUAUCAGUCAUUAAAUACAAAAGGAUAGAAUCGGGAUUUAAUAUUUGGAGACAAGCAUCCCCUUUCGGGUGGAGCCACGAACGUUUUACAGAGAAAGAGAUCCGACACCUUACAUCAACCAACACCUUCUUUUCUUUUCUUUUUUUUUUUUAAUCCGACGGUUCACGUUCCAUCCAAAUCAUCCAAUCUGAGCCGUUGGAUUAGAAUCCCCUCGUGAGCUCCAAAAUAUGCGCAACUUUCUCCACUUAUUUACUAUUCUGCCACUCUCUUUAAUUUUCCUCUUUUUUAAAAAUUAAUUAAUUGAUCUCGGCUACGAGUUUCUGGGUGAUGAUAAUUAAGCUUUAUUUUCCCUUUUCUGUUUUAAUGGAAGGACCUUGACACACACCUCUCUCUCUCUCUCUCUCUCUCUCUCUCUCUCUCUCAUUCUCUAUCUCUUUGCUAUUCAUCUUCUACAAUUUUGUAAAUUAUUCUCUCCCUCUGCU